rnacentral:rRNA from 1 species
CCUACGGGGGGCAGCAGUGGGGGAUAUUGCACAAUGGGGGAAACCCUGAUGCAGCGACGCCGCGUGGGCGAAGAAGUAUUUCGGUAUGUAAAGCCCUAUCAGCAGGGAAGAAGAAAUGACGGUACCUGAGUAAGAAGCCCCGGCUAACUACGUGCCAGCAGCCGCGGUAAUACGUAGGGGACAAGCGUUAUCCGGAUUUACUGGGUGUAAAGGGAGCGUAGACGGAAAGGCAAGUCAGAAGUGAAAACCCAAGGCUCAACCAUGGGACUGCUUUUGAAACUGUCAAACUAGAGUACGGGAGAGGUAAGAGGAAUUCCUAGUGUAGCGGUGAAAUGCGUAGAUAUUAGGAGGAACACCAGUGGCGAAGGCGUCUUACUGGACCGAAACUGACGUUGAGGCUCGAAAGCGUGGGGAGCAAACAGGAUUAGAUACCCGAGUAGUC